CCUACGGGAGGCAGCAGUAGGGAAUCUUCCGCAAUGGACGAAAGUCUGACGGAGCAACGCCGCGUGAGCGAUGAAGGCCUUCGGGUCGUAAAGCUCUGUUGUUAGGGAAGAAUAAGUGCUAGUUGAAUAAGCUGGCACCUUGACGGUACCUAACCAGAAAGCCACGGCUAACUACGUGCCAGCAGCCGCGGUAAUACGUAGGUGGCAAGCGUUGUCCGGAAUUAUUGGGCGUAAAGCGCGCGCAGGCGGUUUCUUAAGUCUGAUGUGAAAGCCCCCGGCUCAACCGGGGAGGGUCAUUGGAAACUGGGAAACUUGAGUGCAGAAGAGGAAAGUGGAAUUCCAAGUGUAGCGGUGAAAUGCGUAGAGAUUUGGAGGAACACCAGUGGCGAAGGCGACUUUCUGGUCUGUAACUGACGCUGAGGCGCGAAAGCGUGGGGAGCAACAGGAUUAGAUACCCUGGUAGUCCACGCUGUAAACGAUGAGUGCUAAGUGUUAGAGGGUUUCCGCCCUUUAGUGCUGAAGUUAACGCAUUAAGCACUCCGCCUGGGGAGUACGGUCGCAAGACUGAAACUCAAAGGAAUUGACGGGGGCCCGCACAAGUGGUGGAGCAUGUGGUUUAAUUCGAAGCAACGCGAAGAACCUUAC
rnacentral:rRNA from 1 species